rnacentral:rRNA from 1 species
UGCAAGUCGAACGAGACCUUCGGGUCUAGUGGCGCACGGGUGCGUAACGCGUAGGCAAUCUACCCGAUACAGGGGAAUAACACGGGGAAACUCGUGCUAAUACUGCGUAAUAAAUGAGAAGGCAUCUUCUUAUUUUAAAAGCUUCGGCGGUAUCGGAAGAGCCUGCGUCCUAUUAGCUAGUUGGUAAGGUAACAGCUUACCAAGGCGACGAUAGGUAGGGGAACUGAGAGGUUGAUCCCCCACACUGGUACUGAGAUACGGACCAGACUCCUACGGGAGGCAGCAGUGAGGAAUAUUGGUCAAUGGACGGAAGUCUGAACCAGCCAUGCCGCGUGUCGGAAGACGGCCCUCUGGGUUGUAAACGGCUUUUCUUUGGGAAGAACACGCUCUUGCGAGAGCAACUGACGGUACCAAAGGAAUAAGCACCGGCUAACUACGUGCCAGCAGCCGCGGUAAUACGUAGGGUGCAAGCGUUGUCCGGAUUUAUUGGGUUUAAAGGGUGCGUAGGCGGCUAUUUAAGUCGUGGGUGAAAGCCCGUCGCUUAACGACGGAAUUGCCUGCGAUACUGGAUAGCUUGAGUAUCGUUAAGGUUGGCGGAAUGGGAGGUGUAGCGGUGAAAUGCAUAGAUACCUUCCAGAACACCGAUUGCGUAGGCAGCUGACUAGGCGAUAACUGACGCUGAGGCACGAAAGCGUGGGGAGCGAACAGGAUUAGAUACCCUGGUAGUCCACGCCGUAAACGAUGAUGACUCGUUGUUGG